GAAAUAUGUGGAAAUCACCUGGGUGGCAGAUCGUUUGCCUAUAAGAUACUUUGAUAAGAAUACUACUGACCACGAUGCAACAAAAUGCAACUAGCUUCACCAAGCAUUGUGACCGAUACUAGCGGAACACUAAUAUCUAAAACCAACCAGUCAUUUUGCUAACUUCAAUUAGCACCCCUUAGCCAUUUGCAAAAUGGGGUAUGGACAUCUUGAGAUCUUUCCCACAAGCAUCAGGCC
rnacentral:lncRNA from 1 species